AUUUAACACCAAGGAAGCAGAGGAAGAGCAAGGGGUAAAAAGAAAAUGGCCUUGGACAUAGCAGAAGACACAGAAGUCUGCAGAGGAUGACAACACAGAAGCCAUGACAAAGUGGGCACAAGCUGCUCCUAGACCACAAGAGAGGGGUCAGGGAAGAGAGCUUAAUCAGCUCAGCGUUAGUCUGAGUCCAGGACGUCUACAUCAUCAUGAGGACUCACCGCAUCCUGACAGCUGAG